GGAGAGAAGACCUUGGAGUUGAGUGAAGUUUGUUUCUUCCAGAAAAAUUAGAGAAAACAACAGGAGGCCAUAUUCAAGGGAGAGCUUUAUUGCUUCCGUGAUGGUCGGACCCGUGGAGCUGGCAUGUAUAUAUACCACAGGAGCUCGAGAGGCCAGAAAAGGGCAUCAGAUCUCCCGGAACUGGAGUUACAGAAAAAUUAGAGAAAACAACAGGAGGCCAUAUUCAAGGGAGAGCUUUAUUGCUUCCGUG